rnacentral:rRNA from 1 species
AACGCUGGCGGUAGGCCUAACACAUGCAAGUCGAACGGCAGCACAGGAGAGCAUGCUCUCUGGGUGGCGAGUGGCUGACGGGUGAGGAAUGCAUCGGAAUCACUCUCGUGGGGGAUAACGUAGGGAAACUUACGCUAAUACGCAUACGACCUACGGGUGAAAGCCGGGGACCUUCGGGCCUGGCGCGAAAGAAUGAGCCGAUGCCCGAUUAGCUAGUUGGCGGGGUAAGAGCCCACCAAGGCGACGAUCGGUAGCUGGUCUGAGAGGAUGAUCAGCCACACUGGAACUGAGACACGGUCCAGACUCCUACGGGAGGCAGCAGUGGGGAAUAUUGGACAAUGGGCGCAAGCCUGAUCCAGCCAUACGCGUGGGUGAAGAAGGCCUUCGGGUUGUAAAGCCCUCUCUGUGGGAAAGAAAAGCAGUCGGUAAUACCCGAUUGUUCUGACGUACCCAAGAAU